GAUGAAGAACGUAGCGAAAUGCGAUACGUAAUGUGAAUUGCAGAAUUCAGUGAAUCAUCGAGUCUUUGAACGCACAUUGCGCCCCCUGGUAUUCCGGGGGGCAUGCCUGUCCGGGCGUCGUUGCUGCCCUCAAGCACGGCUUGUGUGUUGGGCCUCCGUCCUCCUCCCGGGGGACGGGCCCGAAAGGCAGCGGCGGCACCGCGUCCGGUCCUCGAGCGUAUGGGGCUUCGUCACCCGCUCUUGUAGGCCCGGUCGGCGCUUGCCGACACAUCAAUCUUUUUUCCAGGUUGACCUCGGAUCAGGUAGGGAUACCCGCUGAACUUAAGCAUAUCAAUAAGCGGAGGA
rnacentral:misc_RNA from 1 species